rnacentral:rRNA from 1 species
UACGUAGGGUGCGAGCGUUGUCCGGAAUUAUUGGGCGUAAAGGGCUCGUAGGCGGUCUGUCACGUCGGGAGUGAAAACUCAGGGCUUAACCCUGAGCCUGCUUCCGAUACGGGCAGACUAGAGGUAUGCAGGGGAGGACGGAAUUCCUGGUGUAGCGGUGAAAUGCGCAGAUAUCAGGAGGAACACCGGUGGCGAAGGCGGUUCUCUGGGCAUUACCUGACGCUGAGGAGCGAAAGUGUGGGGAGCGAACAGG